rnacentral:rRNA from 1 species
UACGAAGGGGGCUAGCGUUGCUCGGAAUUACUGGGCGUAAAGCGCACGUAGGCGGAUUGUUAAGUCGGGGGUGAAAUCCUGGAGCUCAACUCCAGAACUGCCUCCGAAACUGGCGAUCUUGAGUCCGGGAGAGGUGAGUGGAACUGCGAGUGUAGAGGUGAAAUUCGUAGAUAUUCGCAAGAACACCAGUGGCGAAGGCGGCUCACUGGCCCGGUACUGACGCUGAGGUGCGAAAGCGUGGGGAGCAAACAGG